rnacentral:lncRNA from 1 species
CCAGAACCCAGAUGGAGGUCCCCCACUUACUCGCAAAGGCUGAAUGACAGCUUGACAGGUGAGUGCGAUGCCCCUCCCCACUCCCAACCUGCCAGGAGUUGUCCUUUCGACAGGGGGAGGGGUCAGUGUGCCUGCAUAUAUUGGGGAAGCAGGGAGCCUGGUAAGCCUCUCUUCACAGCUUCCACUGCAGAGCCUCAUACCUACCUCCAGCCAGAGAAUGCUGCCAUCUCCAUGAAAAAAGCCCAUGUUCGCCAGCUGGAGGAUAAGAUACAACAGGGAGGAGAAGCAAGGUGCCCCUUGUUGACAAUCCCAGAAGCAGAAGCUCAUGCCCAGAAGCACAGCUGCCUAGUUGACAGGCUCAGCUGAGACCAGAAGAAUGGCCCCACCAAGCCCAGCCUAAAUGGCUGACCAUCACAAUUAUGAGCUAAGAAGUUUUGGAUGGUUUGUUAUGCUGUAAGAGCUAACUAAUACGUGCACCCAGUGCAGAUAGGAUGCCAAAAAUUAAUGGCAAGUUGAUUACUAAUUACGUUCUAACAGUGGGCACCCUAAAAGUGCUGACUUUUUUCCCCUGAUUUAAAGUUAGAUGUUUUGUAAUACUGAGAAAUGAAUAAAUACAUGUAGACAUGUGUGCAUGUGAUUGGUGCUUAUACUCACACAUUUCCAUAAACCACAGGAGAAAACAGAUAACCACAGCCUGACCAUUAGGGCCAAGGCCAAAUGGCAAAAUAAGUUUACCUUUAAUCUGUUUUCUCUAUAUUUAUACACUGGAGGUCAAGACUGUGGACAUAUCUGAAGACAUAGAGUUUUCUUCUCCUGUGGACCCAUCAUCCUUUGUUUACUGUCUGAUCUCUGGAACAAAAAUGGAAAACACGUUGGCAGCAGUGGUCUACCUGGGGUUAUUUUAUUUCUGCUGGCCUCUGUUCUUUCUUUUUUUUCUUUCUUUUUUUUGGAGACAGAGUCUU